rnacentral:tRNA from 1 species
GCCCCUGUGGCGGAACGGUAGACGCGGCAGACUCAAAAUCUGUUGCUCGCAAGGGCGUGGGGGUUCGAGUCCCUCCAGGGGCACCA